rfam:Myotis davidii contig48943, whole genome shotgun sequence.
GGCGGUUCCCGGGUGAUGAACCCCAGAAUCGGGCUCCCUCCUCUCUGGUUCCGAGUGCAUCACCCAAGAACUGCA